GACGAACGCUGGCGGCGUGCUUAACACACGCAAGUCGAACGAUGAAACCUAGCUUGCUAGGUCGAUUAGUGGCGAACGGGUGAGUAACACGUGACUAACCUGCCCCUUUCUCUGGGAUAACGCUCCGAAAGGAGUGCUAAUACCGGAUACUCACAUCGAGGCACAUGCCUUGGUGUGGAAAGUUUUUCGGAAAGGGAUGGAGUCGCGGCCUAUCAGCUUGUUGGUGAGGUAACGGCUCACCAAGGCGACGACGGGUAGCCGGCCUGAGAGGGCGACCGGCCACACUGGGACUGAGACACGGCCCAGACUCCUACGGGAGGCAGCAGUGGGGAAUAUUGCACAAUGGGCGCAAGCCUGAUGCAGCGACGCCGCGUGAUGGAUGAAGGUCUUCGGAUUGUAAACCUCUUUCAGUAGGGACGAAGCGAAAGUGACGGUACCUAAAGAAGAAGCACCGGCUAACUACGUGCCAGCAGCCGCGGUAA
rnacentral:rRNA from 1 species